UACGGAGGGUGCAAGCAUUAAUCGGAUUUAUUGGGCGUAAAGGGCGCGUAGGCGGGAAGAUAAGUCAGAUGUGAAAUCCCGGGGCUCAACCUCGGAACAGCAUUUGAAACUAUCUUUCUAGAGGGUAGGCGGAGAAAACGGAAUUCCACAAGUAGCGGUGAAAUGCGUAGAUAUGUGGAAGAACACCGGUGGCGAAGGCGGUUUUCUAGCUUAUACCUGACGCUGAUGCGCGAAAGCAAGGGGAU
rnacentral:rRNA from 1 species